rnacentral:rRNA from 1 species
GAUCAUGGCUCAGGAUGAACGCUGGCGGCGUGCCUAACACAUGCAAGUCGAACGGAGUAAUUAAGCGGAAGUUUCGGAUGGAAGCAUAGUACUAGUGGCGGACGGGUGAGUAACGCGUGGGCAACCUGCCCUGUACCGGGGGAUAACACUUAGAAAUAGGUGCUAAUACCGCAUAAGCGCACAGCUUCGCAUGAAGGUGUGUGAAAAACUCCGGUGGUACAGGAUGGACCCGCGUCUGAUUAGCUAGUUGGUGGGGUAGAGGCCUACCAAGGCGACGAUCAGUAGCCGGCCUGAGAGGGUGACCGGCCACAUUGGGACUGAGACACGGCCCAAACUCCUACGGGAGGCAGCAGUGGGGAAUAUUGCACAAUGGGGGAAACCCUGAUGCAAGCGACGCCGCGUGAGUGAAGAAGUAUUUCGGUAUGUAAAGCUCUAUCAGCAGGGAAGAAAAUGACGGUACCUGACUAAGAAGCCCCGGCUAACUACGUGCCAGCCGCUGC